GGCUUCGGUCCAGCAGAGCCAGCGUGGUGGCUCCCGAGCUUGAGUGGCAGCUGGACACUUGGGAGAAGGGUGAUAGCACGGAAUGAGUCGGAGGAGGAUGUAGGCUAUAAUCAGUCGGAAGAUAACCUGCACACACUCGAGACUUCUACAAGUUACCAUCUCCUAAGUGCAAGCCUCGUGCUACAAACAGUCCUAUGAAGAUGAUCCUUAUACAGUAGUCUUCGUGCACUUGUAUAAUCACAUCUCUACAGUGAAUUCCCACAAAUCAACAGAGCAAAGCCGGGGUCAAGACUGGAGGUUGGGAAGAUGGAAGUUUUGGCUCUAAGAAUGUCAGACCUUGCAAACAAGCCCAGCCAGCCAGCAACGGAGGGGGCCUGCUUGGAGAGAUAAGAGCUCCUCCUCGGAGCAGGAACUU
ensembl:lncRNA